UUUCACAAUUAUUAUAUUGUUGAAAACUUGAAAGCUUAUCCAUUCUUUUCAAUCAUGAUAUAUCUCCUUUGUAUGUAAAACUUGCUGGGCAAAUUUGUUGCUCACCCUUGCUAUAUCAUGAUAAAAUUUUCAGAUUAAGAUGAAGGCUUGAAUAAGGACAGAGGCAAAGACAAAGUGCAAAGUUUCUUUAUGUUGUAGUUAAAUUUAUUAAAUUUUCUGAUGAAAAUAGUAUUGUAAAUCUUCUAAGAUAUUGAAGGUAUGUAUUAAGUUAAGGUUGUAGACCUUGGGGAAUGAUGUGUAAAAGUUUAAUGUAUAAACAAUUUAUGUUUAUAUCUUCCGCAAUAGUGAUAGAAAUAGUAUACCGGAUCCGUGGCGAUUUGGGACCCGGAUUCGGGGAUGCUACAGUUGGUAUCAAAGCUGUAGGUUAUAAACCUUAGGUAGGUGUACCUUAGGUUAUAACCACAAAGAUGAUAAGUAAUAAACUCGAAUAGAGUUUAAGCGAUAAGAGAUGAGUUUAUGGAAAUUCAUCAUUAAGUAAAGAGAAAGAUAAAGAAGAUUCAAAGAAGAAUCUUAAAGAGCUAUAAGGAUAAGAAUCUGGAGUUACCUGACUCCAGUAAUAGAGAUGAAAAGUGAUACUAAAUAGACGAUGUCUAUAAGAGGAAAAGUGCUAAUAAAAUCAUAAUAUAAUAUGAUUAAGGAGAAGAAUAAGAAGAUCGUAAAAUAAAACGACCGUAAGCAUAAGGAGAAAUGAUUACAAAAAAUAAGAUCACCAUGUGAUCAGAUUAAAUCAUUGAAUAACAUAUGAUUUGUUAAGUGAUUGGAAUGAUAUAGCAUGAUGCUAUAAAGAGAAGGUACUAUGAAAUGGUACUAUGUAAACUCAGAAAAGAGUGAAAAAUAUUAAGAUACGGAUUAAGGAAAAUUCGUAUUAAGAAAAGAGAAAGUUAAGAUUAUGUGGGUUUUCAAUUGAGGACUCAUGUCAAUAGCUGAGUUGUAUGAUUCCUUGUAUGGGCGGGGAAUUUGUACUUGGUUUUAGAAUCACUUAGCUUCCUG
rnacentral:lncRNA from 1 species